GACGAACGCUGGCUUCGUGCCUAAUACAUGCAAGUAGAACGCUGAAGAGAGGAGCUUGCUCUUCUUGGAUGAGUUGCGAACGGGUGAGUAACGCGUAGGUAACCUGCCUGGUAGCGGGGGAUAACUAUUGGAAACGAUAGCUAAUACCGCAUAAAAUUGAUUAUUGCAUGAUAAUUAAUUGAAAGAUGCAAUUGCAUCACUACCAGAUGGACCUGCGUUGUAUUAGCUAGUUGGUGAGGUAACGGCUCACCAAGGCGACGAUACAUAGCCGACCUGAGAGGGUGAUCGGCCACACUGGGACUGAGACACGGCCCAGACUCCUACGGGAGGCAGCAGUAGGGAAUCUUCGGCAAUGGGGGGAACCCUGACCGAGCAACGCCGCGUGAGUGAAGAAGGUUUUCGGAUCGUAAAGCUCUGUUGUAAGAGAAGAACGGGUGUGAGAGUGGAAAGUUCACACUGUGACGGUAUCUUACCAGAAAGGGACGGCUAACUACGUGCCAGCAGCCGCGGUAAUACGUAGGUCCCGAGCGUUGUCCGGAUUUAUUGGGCGUAAAGCGAGCGCAGGCGGUUAGAUAAGUCUGAAGUUAAAGGCUGUGGCUUAACCAUAGUAUGCUUUGGAAACUGUUUAACUUGAGUGCAGAAGGGGAGAGUGGAAUUCCAUGUGUAGCGGUGAAAUGCGUAGAUAUAUGGAGGAACACCGGUGGCGAAAGCGGCUCUCUGGUCUGUAACCGACGCUGAGGCUCGAAAGCGUGGGGAGCAAACAGGAUUAGAUACCCUGGUAGUCCACGCCGUAAACGAUGAGUGCUAGGUGUUAGGCCCUUUCCGGGGCUUAGUGCCGCAGCUAACGCAUUAAGCACUCCGCCUGGGGAGUACGACCGCAAGGUUGAAACUCAAAGGAAUUGACGGGGGCCCGCACAAGCGGUGGAGCAUGUGGUUUAAUUCGAAGCAACGCGAAGAACCUUACCAGGUCUUGACAUCCCUCUGACCGCUCUAGAGAUAGAGUUUUCCUUCGGGACAGAGGUGACAGGUGGUGCAUGGUUGUCGUCAGCUCGUGUCGUGAGAUGUUGGGUUAAGUCCCGCAACGAGCGCGACCCCUAUUGUUAGUUGCCAUCAUUCAGUUGGGCACUCUAGCGAGACUGCCGGUAAUAAACCGGAGGAAGGUGGGGAUGACGUCAAAUCAUCAUGCCCCUUAUGACCUGGGCUACACACGUGCUACAAUGGCUGGUACAACGAGUCGCAAGCCGGUGACGGCAAGCUAAUCUCUGAAAGCCAGUCUCAGUUCGGAUUGUAGGCUGCAACUCGCCUACAUGAAGUCGGAAUCGCUAGUAAUCGCGGAUCAGCACGCCGCGGUGAAUACGUUCCCGGGCCU
rnacentral:rRNA from 1 species